rnacentral:rRNA from 1 species
UACAGAGGGGGCAAGCGUUAUUCGGAAUUAUUGGGCGUAAAGGGCGCGUAGGCGGCCUGGCAAGUGGAAGGUGAAAUCCCUCGGCUUAACCGAGGAACUGCCUUCCAAACUGCUUGGCUUGAGUCCGGGAGAGGUGAGUGGAAUUCCCAGUGUAGCGGUGAAAUGCGUAGAGAUCGGGAGGAACACCCGUGGCGAAGGCGGCUCACUGGGCUGACCUUGACGCUGAGGAGCGAAAGCAUGGGGAGCGAACAGG